CUUCACUCAUCAUUGCCUUUGGCGAAUCCCCUUAAUUUUCCAAUGUGUCCCUAGACGCACCAAGUCCAUUCUGCAUUGUGACUUGUUGUGCAAGUCUCAUCUCAACUUCUUCUUUAUACCUUGGCAGGUCUCCUGGUUUACUAAUCUAUGGACUUCACAUGCUGCCUUAGCUAAGCUAUGGUCUUAUACAUGUAACCCUGUGUUUACAUGUUCC
rnacentral:lncRNA from 1 species